rnacentral:rRNA from 1 species
ACGGGAGGCAGCAGUGAGGAAUAUUGGUCAAUGGGCGGAGGCCUGAACCAGCCAAGUCGCGUGAAGGAUGAAGGUAUUAUGUAUUGUAAACUUCUUUAGCUGUGGAGCAAUAAUCUCCAUGUAUGGAGAGAUGAGAGUACACAGAGAAUAAGGAUCGGCUAACUCCGUGCCAGCAGCCGCGGUAAUACGGAGGAUCCGAGCGUUAUCCGGAUUUAUUGGGUUUAAAGGGUGCGCAGGCGGCUUUCUAAGUCAGUGGUCAAAUCGUGGUGCUCAACGCCAUCCCGCCAUUGAUACUGGAGAGCUUGAUUGCGGUCGAGGUUUGCGGAAUUCGUCGUGUAGCGGUGAAACGCAUAGAUAUGACGAAGAACACCGAUUGCGUAGGCAGCAGACCAGGCCGUAAAUGACGCUCAUGCACGAAAGUGCGGGGAUCGAACAGGAUUAGAUACCCUGGUA